rnacentral:rRNA from 1 species
AUGAACGCUAGCGACAGGCCUAACACAUGCAAGUCAGGGGCAGCACAAGGAGCAAUCUGAGGUGGCGACCGGCGCACGGGUGAGUAACACGUAUGCAACCUGACCUGUAAGCGGGGAAUAACCCGUUGAAAGACGGACUAAUACCGCAUAAUACUAAAUUACUGCAUGGUAAUUUAUUUAAACAUUUAUGGCUUACAGAUGGGCAUGCGCAUGAUUAGCUAGUUGGAGAGGUAACGGCUCCCCAAGGCAACGAUCAUUAGGGGUUCUGAGAGGAAGGUCCCCCACACUGGUACUGAGACACGGACCAGACUCCUACGGGAGGCAGCAGUGAGGAAUAUUGGUCAAUGGACGAGAGUCUGAACCAGCCAAGUCGCGUGCAGGAAGAAUGUCCUAUGGAUUGUAAACUGCUUUUGCAGGGGAAUAAAGUGCAUCACGUGUGAUGUUUUGUAUGUACUCUGCGAAUAAGGAUCGGCUAACUCCGUGCCAGCAGCUGC